CUAAGAAUUACUUUAUAUCCUAUAGAAUGUAUUUCUUACCUGUAGGAUAAACUAGAAACAUGCUAGUCUCAUACUAAAAACUAUUCACUAAGUAGCACUAUUACUGAGACUGAACUUGAAUUUAAAUUGAACUUUAUCAUCACAAAGUAAUCCAAGAUUGGCCAUUAAAUGUUGGUAUUAAACCACUGCAUUUCACUAUUGGUAAUAAUACUUAAUAUCUGUAGAGUUUACACACACACACACACACACACACAAAUGUAUGAGGUUUCUAAUUUUAGUUUCAAGGAAAAUAAGGGACAUUAAAUUUACAAAAACCUUAUAUGCUGCCUAUAAAAAAAACUAGUCUAAAAUAUUUAAUUCUCUGUGAACUUUUAAAUUAGAGUACAUAUUCCAGAUAUUUUACACGUUUUAUUAGAAAAAAUUAUGGAAUCUUCAUGUUAAUCUAAGAUUAGUUGACAUUUUUUCGAAGAAGGGAAUCAAUUAUUUGCCACAUAAAUGCAUGCAUAUUCAGUGUAUAUAUAUAUAUAAGAAAUUUCUUUUAAAUAAAUAAUGUGAAAUUAAUGAAAUACUACAAAUUUGUUAAAUUAAAAUAUAGUGAGAAUGAUUAAUAAAAGUCACUCUAAAAAUUUCGCAAAUUGAACCAAAACUUUGAAAUCUCAUUUAUUGUUUCCUAUUUUUGGUUUUAGCUAAAUUAAUUUAUAAAAUGUUUAAAUUGUUUCUAUGUUAUAGUGGUAGAGAGAAAAAGGAAGGAAAUUGGAUUCACUUUGUAUAGCUUGUUAGAUUUUUUUGAGCUUGUGACACAGCUAUGUACUGUUGUCCGUAGAGAAAUAUGUUUUAAACACUUAACCUAAAAUAAUUUAUUUUAUCUUAAAACACUAAUUCUAACAUGUAAAAAUUUCACUUUAUCUGAAUAAAUCUCCAAGGUUUAAUUAGUGAUAGGAUCUGACACCAGGUGUACUAGUUUAUCAGUAAGAAAAAACGACCUUUUAAUGCUAUAAAGAAAGAAUUUUAAAGGUGCUCUUGUACUUGUGUAAUAAAGAUGCACUUACAGUUCUGUACAAAGAUUAAAGAAGAUUUGUAAACUUCUAAUUGAGUUGAUAAACACUCGGUAUGGAAGUAAUGUCAGUUAUAUAGAAAGACAUAUUGUGUUUUCCCCUGUGUAGAGAGAGACUUGUAAAGGUAAUAAAGAUGCAUGUGCAUC